UUUAACCCAACUCUCACAUUCACACGCGCUCACAACACUUUUCCAGCAGCCACAACCCACAAACCCCUAACACCCAAAUCCCCCUAAUUCCGUAGGAUGUCGCCGUCUGCCUCACGGCCUCGCCUAAGCCUUGUGUCCAAGCCUCGAUCUAAGUCGGUCGCUGUCGUUGCGCGCUGCACGCCUCGAUCUGAGUCGGUCGCUGCCGCUGCACGCUGCACGCCUCGAUCUGAGUAAGUUGCUGCCGCUACACGCUCGAUCUGAGUCAGUUGCUGUCGAAUCCUCGCCAUCGAAGAAGCCUCUCGCUGUCGAAUCCUCGCCCUCGGAGAAGCCUCGUCUAAGCACUUUAAUUAAAAUGGUCUUGGCAAGCCUUGUUGAAUCCUUUGGCCUUUGUUGAUUCAAUUUAGUUUAAUUUUGAAUAAAUUUCUUUGCUGAUUCGUUUCAUCACUUUAAUUAAAUGCAUUAAUUUUCAAUAUAAUGUAAAUGUUUAAUAGGUUUUGGGAUUAGGUUUUAAUUUGGAAAAUUGUUGAAUUUUUAAAUUAAAAAUUUAAAUGAAAUCUUGGUGAAACCUGUUGUCAUCUGCCGGUUAACAUAGCUAGUCUCUGAAAUAAUUUCUUGAUUCACUAAUUAUGAGUUCAAAUUUGAUGCAGAAUGGGCAACCAGCCUACUGCAAACAAAUCUUCUGGAACAGUUCAGAUGAAGGGACAGCCAAUCCAGCAAAACAGUUAUAAACAACUCUAAAUAAAUUCAUAUACGCAUAGCAGCUAAUUACAGUCUUGAUACUUCAUUAGGUUUUUGUUAAUUUUCUAUACAGUUGUGCUGUGCAUUAAAGUUUUGUUAAAUGAAAUCGGUAGGUGAGGAUUAAUUAAUCAAUUAAUUAAGAUCCAGUUAAUGUAAUUAAUUUUAUUUGAUUUUUUUAAUUCGAGUUCUAAAUUAAUCAAUUAAUUUAGAUUCAUGUGAAAUUGAAGUGAAUUAGUUUCGAUCUGUUUUUCGUCCUAUGUUUGUCUGUG
rnacentral:lncRNA from 1 species